rnacentral:lncRNA from 1 species
UUAGAUGUCACUCAUAGCUUGUGAGUUCUUCUAGAUGAUUAAAUGUAGUCAUCAAAGAAGAAAGGUGAAUUACAAUGAGGUUUUAAUUCACUAAGUGAUUGAAUUAAAUAUAAGCAAUUGGAUUGAUGCCAAUCACCUCACUGCCUUGCUAAUUAGAACCUAAAAGAUUGUUCACCAUAACACUAUUCUAGUGAGUAACUAAUGGAUGAUGGAAAUAAUUAAUUGGAUUAAUUAAUUGUUGUGAUUAAUUUAGAA